rnacentral:rRNA from 1 species
CAGUCGCCACGGGAAUACGUAGGUGGCAAGCGUUGUCCGGAAUUAUUGGGCGUAAAGGGCUCGCAGGCGGUUUCUUAAGUCUGAUGUGAAAGCCCCCGGCUCAACCGGGGAGGGUCAUUGGAAACUGGGAAACUUGAGUGCAGAAGAGGAGAGUGGAAUUCCACGUGUAGCGGUGAAAUGCGUAGAGGUGUGGAGGAACACCAGUGGCGAAGGCGACUCUCUGGUCUGUAACUGACGCUGAGGAGCGAAAGCGUGGGGAGCGAACAGGAUUAGAUACCCCAGUAGUCCCUGUCUCUUAUAC